rnacentral:lncRNA from 14 species
UCAGCCAAACACAGGCAGGGGCAGGAAGUGUCCUUGGCCUCUAGAAAGUUCUGAGACUAGGACCUCGUGGGCCCUAACCGAGGUCUCCCUGAACGGGAGGUGAGUUCCCAGAGGGCAGGACUCCAAGCGAGGACAGACUGGGCAGAAGAGACCCCAAGUGAGCAGAUGUCUCCCCUCCCUGGAGUAUAGAACAGACUCCUGGUCACUCAUUUUGUUCAGUGAGUGGCUACCCUUCCUGCCAGGAGAAGUGUUCACUCUCUGAACAGAUGUGGUCUCUGA